UCACACUAGAAGCUGCUGCAAAAUGAGUUGGUGUCCAGAACUCUUAUUUCUAGCAAGCAACUGGCUCUCUCUCAUUUAUUCUAACUCACUAGUUGAGAUGGACAGGUGGAGUUCAGGGCUUCUGGGGUGGAUUGUAGUAUGGGGGAGGCUUCUUCUUAUAUGGAGUUGGAGGAGGAGGAGGUUUCUUCCCUUCUGGCUUUUGUGGGGGUAGAGGAGCCUUGAUUGGAGGAGGGUGUUUAGGGUAACUAGGUGUGAUUGGUUUCACAACAGGAGGUAGAGUUGGUGUCUUAGGAUAAGGUGGUGGAAGUGGCUUGGUCACCGGCGUAGGUGGCGGUGAAUGUACAAUAGGAGGCUGAGUGCUUGGUGGUUUGCCAUAAGGUGAGGAUGGUGGUGGCCUCACCACUCUAGGAGGCAGAGUUGGUGGUUUGGGUUUGGGCACUAUUGGUGGUGAUGGCUUGUUAUAAACUGGGGGUGAUGGCUUCUUGAUGGGAGCUGGGGGCUUGUAAAUAGGAGAAGGAGUUGGUGGUUUGGGUUUGGGCACUAUUGGUGGUGAUGGCUUCUUGAUGGGAGCUGGGGGCUUGUAAAUAGGAGAAGGAGUGGGUGGCUUGGGUUUUUCAUUGUACUCAGCUAGAGAUGAAGUGAUGAGAACCACCAGGCCAAACAAUAGCACAAGCAACUUUGAGUAACUCAUGGUGUUUGUGUUUUUGUGAUGGUAUAAGAUCUAGACGGCAUCGUUUGCUAUUUAUAGUGCUCUCAGGCCUGUGUCGGCAAUACGUGUCAAAAGAUCUUGGUCAUUUUGUUUCAUAGUUAACAGUCAAGGAUUUUCAAAUUCAUGAGAAGAAAAGUACGAUUUUUUUGGCUGAAUAAAAGUUUAGAAGAGGGGAGGCUACACCAUCUUAGAGUUAGGACAUAUCAAAGUUUUCUUGAGGAUUUACAGAGGGGGUUUUAGUCUUUUUUUUUUGUUUUUACAGAUUAUCCCCCAAAAAGAAUUUUCGGCAACAGAACCCGAAUCUAAGUCUUGAUAGCAAAGAGAAUGAUCCUUAUCAACUCAACCAACCCUCGUUGACAGAGAAGUAAGAUUUUCAAUUGGUACGGAUGAUUGUUGAUAUAAGUGUUGUUGAUAGAGAAUCCCAAGUAUAAAUGGUAAAUUCUCUUAAUCAUUUGAGCAACAAAUUCUUUAUAAGUAAUUUGACUGAUUGAUUAUUGAUUGCAAUAAUGGUAAGUGUAAAUAAAAAUUGAGUAGUAUUUAAUGGAAAAUGACAUGACAGUAUUUUACUAGUUGAAAAUAGAACCAAGUUGUCGGUGUAGAUAAAAACAAAUGAUUCAGUCUUCCAAAAUGUGGAGAUUUGAAUUUGUGUUCGUCUAGCAUUAAUCUUUUAAAAAGAUUUUGGAUUUUUAUGUGAAUUUAAGUUAAUUUGAGUCUACAUUAUGCGUUCCAUGGUCUAUAUAAUUUAGACUGGUUUAAUUUUCCACAUUGAAUGACUUUUGUAUGUGGACUUUUCCCCCCAUCUUUCUUUAUUAUUGUCCUCUCCUCCGUUGUCGUUAGUUUUGUCACUUAUCAUCCUUGUGGUGUGAUGAUAAUUGGAAACGAGUGUUUCUAUUCUCGUUUCCCAAGCUAUGUUAUUAAAAUCUAACAUGAUUUGCAAAGGAUUCAUUAGGGUAGUAAUUUGGAGUAUUUAUUUCCUCAGGUAAGUUCUGGGUUCGAGUCGUAGUAUCUGUGUAGUGUGUGAGAGUUUAGCAUGCUAUUGCCCCUCUCAAUAGGAAAGGUCCUAAAAAAAAUCUAACAUGGUUUAUAUUGGUAUCAGGACUCUUCCAAUGGGACUACUGAGGGAACUGAGGCCAAGCCAUUGAUAUGUCAGCUUAGCGUUAAUGAAGAAAUAAAUAUAUUUGCUAACCAAGGUGGUAUGGGACUAGUGUGUAAGUAAAUGCCUUCUUCAUUGGGCUAGACUCUGUUAGCAUUAGGCAUUAAAACUUAAUAUCUCUUCCAACGGUGAAAAAAGAUGUAUCACUGAAUCACUAUAGGUACGGUAUUAUUUCACUUUCAUCUUUUACUAUCUAUUUUCAACGUACUAUAUCACUAUUGGAACAAUGCAAAAUUUCUGGAAUCAAUUAGGGAACAAAGGUGUGAAUAUUAUAUCUCCGUUCCCUUUUGUAAUAAAAUAUGUAUAGAGUUGAGCAAUGGUCACAAAAUUCGUUGCUUUCCAAUAGAUUGCUAUUUCAUUUCUGGUUAAAUCGUCUUGUAGUGGAAAAAACUGAGUCUUCAGCAGCCGCGUUUCUUGAUUUCUCUCAUGGAUUUGGUGAAUUUGAUGGCUGCUUGCGGACCAAUUAGCCGAAGGACAUGUGCUCUCUAUCUAACCCCGUCAUAGUCUGUAUAGCUCUACCUAAAAGGUAAAAAUCAGAGAAAGGAGAGAUCGGACUUGCGACCAAAUAUAUAGUGAGACACAUUACAAGAUUCUUGAAAGAUCUUGAGCCUCUCGAUCUAAAUUGGUUUUGAUUUGGAUGUUCAUAUUUUAUAUUCUAUAUAUAUAUAAUAACGUAAUAUAUUUACUAAUCUUGUUUUUACAGAAAAUUGUUAAGGAUUAUUGCAAAACGAAAGUGUAUUUGUUUAUUUGUUUGGGUUAUUCCCACAAUGUUCAUCCCACCGCCGCGUAUUUUGCUUUCUCUAUAGUGGUUAGGUCCAUUCACGUCAAUAUUAUAUUCAAUCUAAUUUUAGCUUUCAAUUACCAGUGUCCACUCGGUUUUCUUGACGUUUUGAUGUCAUGUAUUGGACCCGAAUAUCGGAUAUCAUCUGUCUCUUCCGCUGAUGAAGGGAUAAAUGCCAUCGAAUCAGAAGAUCUUACUUUUCCAAGGGGGCUUUUCUCUUGUCUCCUCCCAAUCUUCGUCGACUAAGAUCUUACUUUUCUUUUUCUUCUUUUAUAUUUCUACCUUCUUAAUCACUGUACGAAGGGAGAAUUUAUCAAAAAUAGCUAAAAUUUGACUCUUAAUUUCAAAAAUGUUAAUUUUUGUAAAAAUUUCAAUAUAACAGAAAACUCACUUAAAUAGAUACAAAUGUCCUUAAAUUUAAAACUUACAUAAACCUAAAAAAGAAACCUUAUUAAAUAAAACUUUGAAAUAUUUCCUCCAAACACUUUUCCAAUCACCUCUAUUUCUUUUUCUCUUUUUUUUUCCUUCUUCCGUUUGUCUCCAGCAUCACUCCCUCUCUUUUCCUUUUUUUUUUUCUUUCUUCUUCUCUCCACAUAUAUAUAUAUAUAUAUAUAUAUAUAUCUAUCUAUCUAUCUCUCUCUCUCUAUCUCUCUCUCUCUCUCUCUCUCUCUCUCUCUGUGCAUAUCUCUAUUCUUCUUCUCUCCCAUUUUCUCCAAAUAAAAUGUAUGUAUUUAUUUGGCAAAAAAAAAAGUAUUUAGAACCAAAAAUUCAGAAAAUGAUUGAAUCAAUGCACAAGUAUAAUUUCCUCCUCUCACCCAAAAAAAAAUAUUUAUUUCACAUAACUUUAAUUCUUCAAAAACUGUCACAAAUUUAGAGGUAGUCUGUAGAACAAAAAAUUCAAUAAAACGAUCUACAUUAAAAAAAUAUAUAAUUAAAUAUUCAUUCAUUACAAUUCAUAAAGUUAAAGAGAAAAAUAUUACACCAGUCCGUCUAUGAGGUAGGAUGAAGUGCAAUUGAAUUCUUGGAAGUUUGUCAAUAAUGGCCAAUUGAACCACAUCUUGAACACUUACGAGUUGAUGGUUCUUCUCCUCGUGAUGGGAUUCUCUUUUCCUCAAGCCUGCCGUGCCUUCUUCGUGUAAUUGGUGGUAGCACAAUUCUAUCUCGUACAUCAUCAAGCACCACCCAAUCUGUUUGAUCCCCAACUAGCCAUAUAGAUUCUGCAUCCGCAAUUACCAAUGAGUUUGUAGUAUAAUAUUUUGAACACAUUGGGUAGCACGAAAUUUGUCAAUGCGUACAUGCAGCACAAGCAUCUUCUGCUACACAUAUGUCAGAAUCAUCAUAUUACUAGACUCAAUAAUUUUCCAAGCCUAUCAGCACUAACCUUUGAUGCAGGCUCAAAGUGAAUUGACGAUAUUAAAUCAUAGCACUUUGAAUAGGGCUCAAGAGUCCAUUAACAGAAAUGUCGCAACUAUGGACAUUAAGUUAGCAAAACCAGAAUUGAAAUUUUAUAAAUAUAGUAUGAAGAAUAAACGAAGAAACGAAGUAACGAAGAAGAAAUUGAACGAAGAACCAAAGAAGAACAGCACUCUACGUACAAAGAUUCUCAAUCUAAUAGGGUUUUGUUUUUUAGGUUUAUGUUGGUUUUAAAUUUAAGGGUAUUUGUGUCUAUUUAGGUGAGUUUUCUUCUAUAUUUGAAAUUUUUUAUAAAAACUAACAUUUUUGAAAUUAGGGGUCAAGUUUUGGCUAUUUUUGAUAAAUUCUCAUACGAAGGAUUAUCUUUUAGGUGUGAACCUUAAAACACCAUUGGAUGAGAUUUAUGAUUCGUGUAGGAAAAAAAAAUCAAAGGAAGAAUGAGGAGAGCGAUGUUGAAGAAUAUUGAAGUCCCACAUCAGAAACUUAACAAAAUAAUCAAAUACUCCAUAUAAUGAAUGAUUCCACUAUUAAUAAUAUCGAGACUUUUUGUAUAAAAUUUCACAACUGCUAAACAAAUGGUUAAAUUAAAGACAAUAUUGAUAUUAUUAGUAGUGGGUCAUGAGUCCCGAAUAAUUCAAGGGUCAUGAGUCCCGAAUAAUUCAAGGGGAUGGUUUGAAAAAUUCAAUCUAAUUCUGGCUUUCAAUUACUAGUAUCCACUCGUUUUUCCUGAUGUUUUGAUGUCAUGUACUGUUUGAUUUUCAAACUAAUUAUGGGAUGGUUUGAAAAAUCAAACUAAUUAUGGGAUGGUUUGAAAAAUCAAACUUAGAGAAAGCAACCCUUACUGCCUAGAAAAAGAAAAAGGUUAGCCGGCCCUAACUUCUCGUUAAGGAUAAAAAUUUGAACCGGCAAAUCAGUGAACCGGAACCGAAUCUGCAUGAACUGGCUAUAUUUAUAUCUAGUUUUUAAUUUAUUUUUACAGAUGUCUUGUUCUCAUUGUUUUUUUUUUUUGACCUUUCCUAUUGAAAGGGGCGAUAACAUAUUAAACUCACACACACAACACGGAUGUCUUGUUAUCAUUGUUGAUUCUAUACAAUUAGUACAAAGUAAUUUAACAAACAAAGCAAUUUUCUAAAACGGUCCUCCUUUUUUCUCCUUCUAUGGUUUGGUCCUCCUAAUCUAUUCACGGCAAUACUUUGGGCACUGAGGUGAUUGAGCAUAGCCAUUGACAAUAAUACAAUUUAAAGUCUUAAACUCUAUACUUAGCUUAGGGUUAAGUAUUCCAUUAGUGGCAGAAUGUUAAGGCUAAAUAUACGCUAUCUUAAAAAGUCAACCACAAUUAUAUAUGUAACGCACUAUAAAUAUAAAAUGGGGUUAAUGACCUAAAUGGUCUUUCAACUAUUGCUCCAUUAUCAUUUUGGUCCACCAACUAAAAUUUUCAAUUCAAACGUCCUCAAACUUUUUAUUUUGUACCAAGAUGGUCCAUCCGUGACAGAUUCUGUUACUUCUGAUCACGCGAUGGCCACGUGACUGAGUUUUGAAGGGUAUAUGCAACUUUUUGAGAAGCUUUAUCGAAGGGUAUCACUAAAAUGGUCCAUCAACUGUUGCUUCAGUAUCAUUUUGGUCCACCAACUAAAAUUUUCAUUUGAACUGUCCUUCUACUUCUUUUUUUUUUCUUUUUUUUUUGUUAUCAAGAUGGUCCUACUAUCAAAGUCCAUCAAUUUUAUUGUUAUUUAAUUUUGUAUUUAUCUUAUUUUAAAAUUUUUAAUUAAUUUAAACAAUAGAGAAAUAAAUAUUACUUUUUAAGUCCAUGUCAUAAAAUAAAAAAAGCCAUGUUGGUGGUGAGAUUCAAUUUUUUCAAUUUUAAAAUUAGGUACAAGUUCCUAUAAUAGUUUCCUUUAAUUUUAAUUAUUAUUUUCUCUUUUAAAAAAUUUGUUAUUAUAUAUAUGUGAUUUUAAUUAAUUUAAACAAUAGAGAUUUUAUUAUUAAUUGUUAGGUCAGUGUCAUAAAAAAAAAAAAGCCAUGUGGCUAGUGAGAUUCAAAUUUUUAAAAUUUUUUAAGUUUUAUAAUAGUUUCCUUGAUACCAAAAAAAAAAAAAAGAGUUGAAGGAUGGUUCAAAUGAAAAUUUUAGUUGGUGGACUAAAAUGAUACUAGAGCAAUAGUUGGGGGACCAUUGUGAUCAAUAACCCUUUUAGAAGAGGAUACUCACCUAAAAAUACGGUUUUGUCCCUCGAUUUCACGGAAUAAUACACAGACUUUGACAGAUGGACCAUCUUGGUACAAAAUAAAAAGUUUAAGGACGUUUGAAUUGAAAAUUUUAGUUGGUGGACCAAAAUGAUAAUGGGAGCAAUAGUUGGGGGGACCAUUUAGGGUCAUUAACCCAUAUAAAAUCGUUAAGGGUAAUGUUAUACUAGAUCCCGAGUCUAUGCAUUUAGAGUCCACGCAUUUACCCGUAUUUGACUUCAUAUCAACCAUUACAAAGAUCCAACGACUUAAAAUAUGAUAGAUCAUUAUUACAUCAUAAAGUUUUAUUUUUCUAACUGACGUUACUGUUACCAUUUCCUCAAAGCCUUUCUCCCUUGCUUGUUCUCUUCCCUCUCUAAUCUCUCUCAAUUUUUGCUUCUCAUGAAUAUCUACUACCCAGCAUCAUAAAUUGAAUUUCCUAUUUUUAGUACAAUUUCAAUCAAUUCCCCCAUUGCCAAUUGGUUUUGGAGUGUAACCUCAACUUCCUUCACUUAUGUCCUCAGGCUCUCUCCAGUUUGUAUUGUUUGCUUUUUGGGUUUUGUGUAGGUGAAGGAAGUUGAUAAUUGAGUCUGAGAGCGUUUAUGGUGGCGAGAAAGCUUUGUUUCAAUGGAUGUUCUUUUUUUGCAAUGUCUGUUGAUUUGGCUUCCUCGUUUUUAGAGAGACAGAGUUAAUGGAAGGACUAAUGUUAGUUUAGGGAAGAAAAAAAAAACUAAAUUUCAUAACCGACACGUGGUAUAAAAUGUAGAGAUGCCAUAUUAUGUGAUAUAAAAAUGUGGUAAGACUAAUAUUAUUGUAACCGUAAUCAUAUGAUUCAAACUUGAAACCUCAUUCAACUAAGUGAAGACAACUACCCAAAAAAUCAUAAACUAAUUGACAUAAAAACUAUUUAUUAUAAACAAAUUUUGAAUCCAUAUUUUCUGUUAAAUAUAGAUGUAGGACUAGGGUUAAGUAUUAAGUUGGAUGAUAUUUUUGUCUUUUUACUAUAAUUAUUCUCUCUGCUGCUACGGGAUGGGUUAAGGCCUCCCUUGCUGCUGUGAUUAAGGUGGAUAAGGUGCAUUCUUUUAUCUAUUGGAAACCUCCUCGCCCUGCUCAGUUUAAACUUAAUGUUGAUGGGUCUAGAUGCACUUCCUCUGGAUGUAUUGGGGCUGGGGUUGUGAUUCGUGAUGCUUAUGGGGGCGGAUUGGUGGUUUUUCAGUGCACCUUGGCCACAGACAUAUCUUGGAUGCUGAAAUUUGGGGGUUAUAUUUUGGCCUUAAGCUUGCUGUGACUAAGGGUAUAAGCUGCCUUAUUAUUGAAAUGGAUGCUGCUGUGGUUGCCCAACUAGUCAAGAAUAUUGAUGGUCUGGCUCACCACCCCUUUGCUUUACUGAUUAAUGUUUGCUGUGCUCUCAUGCAACAAUUUGCAAAUAGUUGCACUCUCCUUCAUAUUUACAGAGAAGGAAAUUGUGUGGCUGACGGUUUGGCAAAUUGGAGUUACAACUUAGACCUGGGUAUCCUUUAUUUUAAUGAAGCUCCAAAUGUGUCAUAUCUUAAUUCAUUAGAUUAUUAGAACGAUGGGUAAAUGCACACUAUCUAAAUGCAGAGGCUCAGAAUCCGCCUAGUUUAAACUUUUAAGCUAUUUAUAUAUAUAUAUAUAUUUUAUAGAGAUGGACCAAUCAUAUUGAAUUAAAAAAUAACUAUAGUAUUUAUGAUUCCCUAAACUAUGGAGUAUGAUUAGAGUUCAAAUUUGGUAGAGAACUCCUAAAAUAACUUUUAUGUGUUUUUAGCUAAAUUUUAGACACACAAAACUGACCACAUUAGCCGACCACCUUAUGUGGCAGCUGAUGUGGUCAUGCCAUAUUUUUAUCUCACAUUUCCAUACCACAUAAUGUGGCAUGUCCAUAUCAUAUGCCACAUCAAUUAAAUCAAUAGAGUGUAUUUUAAUUAAGACAAUUAGAAAAAAAAAUACUGGAAUAAAUCAUAAAAGAAAAGAAAAUAUUAAAUACUUUUAAUUGAUGUGGUUAUCCACCUCAGCUGCCACAUAAGAUGGUAUAAGGAUGUAGUAUACAAAUAUAGUAAGAGUAGCAUUAUUCUUUCAAUAUAGUAAUCAUCGUUUAGAGAAAGAGUAAGGCUACACUUACUAUAUUUUUAUACCACAAUCCUAUACUAUAUGAUGUGGCAAUCCACAUAAUUAAGCUGACACGUUAAUAAAUUGUGAUAAAAGGUAUUUAAUAUAUUAUUAAUAAUAAUAAUUAAUAUAAUAUAUUAUUAAUUCAACAAACAAUUUAGGGUUAAGUCUUUAUUUAUUUAUUUAGUUCGCAUAAUAGGGUUAAGCCUUUUAUUGAUGUUCUAUUAUGUUCGUCUCUUUCUCUUGCCAGUUUUUUGGUCGGCUUGUUAAUAAAUCACCUACUGUUUUUUUUUUUUUUUAAAAGAAAAAGAUUUCAUUCAUAAGCCAAAACGGCAUACAAAGACUGACAUUAAUUCAUUAGCCUCAUUAAUACCUUCAUAGGAAAACCACUUAGGAUAAACCCCAAGGUAGGAAAGAGUACCACCUAUGUCAAUGACUAACAAGAGAGUUUGACCCAGACCACAAAAGACAGUUACAAGAACAGAAAAAAAAAUCCAACUAAACACCAACAGAGUGGACUCAACUGUCAAAAGAAGCCUUCUAUGAAAAAAACUCUUAGUCCUUUGACUGCCCAUGAACUGCAAAAACACACCAAGGAUAGAAACCCAAGAGAGCAUACGGAGGAAGAGCACAAAAAAAUAACAAGAGAGGCCCUGAAAAGCACCCCAACUCAACUUAGAACCUGACAAAGAAACUUCUAUGACCAAACAUAGGUCUUCGGGCAGCGCAGAGCAGAGACGAGCUGCAAAGGAGCAACAUAACAAUGGAAAAUGACAGCAAAACAGAACACAUCCCAACAACUACCAUCAGUGUCUGUCGCUGCCAUCAAAACAUAGACAAAACAUUAGCCACCAGGUAUCACAACGCUCCCGAAAAAAGAUCAAAUCCAGCGUCACUACUGCUGCCGUCAUCGAGACAGAGACAACACCAGCCACUUACACCACUGCAAAAACAACUAAAUAAAACAAACAGACCUAGAUCCAAACAUAUCAAGGCUAAAAACCCAAGAUCUAAUUAGAUUUGGGAGGAGAAGAGGAAGGGGAUAGAAGGGCCAGCAAGAGCCCCUAGGAAAGUGGGAAGAGAGGGAGAGAGGAGGAAAUGGAGGGAAAAAGAUGGGAAAAGAGGAGAUGAAGGGAGAUGAUGGGCAGUGGCCACCUCCCAUAGCUUAGGAAAGGGUGGUUGUCGGCAAGGAGAAAGAGGGAGGGUUUUGGCUAGGGUUUACUUUGCUAUCUCUUUUGCGUAGCAAUAAAUCACCUACCGUAGGAGUUGCAUAAAAUCCGAUUGCAAAUCCUAGAACUCCCAAAAUCAGAUCGAAUCGUGGCUUAAUUAGCAUCUAUAUGGUCAUAAACAGAUGAAAUCAUGGGUAUUGAAAAAUGAUAAUGAUAUAUCAAAUCUCCUAAAAUCAUCCUUGUCGGUAGAGAAGUUUCAGCGUUGUUCAACAAUUGAAGAUGAGGGUAACACAUUUAAUUCAUUAAUGAUAAGAGCAUUUUAAUACAUAUAACUUGUCUUCCCUAAAAUUACUCUUGCUAGCAUUUUAUUUAGCUUACUUUGCAUUAAUUAUGUUGUUUUUGUCAAUUGGGGUGUUUUGGAAGAUUUCAAUAAAAAAAUAAGGAUAUUUUAGUGCUUAUUAUUCUUGAAUUUGCACAUGGCAGCAACUUUGGGGAGCCAGCAGCUAGAGGAAAUCAUUCAUGUGUGCAGCGAAUGAAAGGCAAUAGGAAUUAAAAAAGAUGGCAAGACUUGCUACACCUUCUGACCAAGGAAGAAAACCCACGUGCGCGAGCAGCCAAAGCCAAAGUAAUGUGUGCAGCAACAAAUGAAAAAGAAAAGGAAAAAGUAUAAAGAAUGAUGUUGGCUGACAAAAGAUAUGAAAUUCAAAUGCCAAUAUGCCUACACGUGAUGAGCAGAGAAAGAUGAAGAAAAGAAAGAGGAAUGGCAGCAGCAAGUUGAAGACCAAUUGGAAGACAUAUGAUGUACAGCAGCCAAAAGAAGAAUGAAAAUGAAAAUAAUGAGAAAGAAUGUUGAGCUGCAGCUUACACGUGAAGAAAGCAAAGGAAAGCAUGGGUAUUUGUGUUCAGCCAAAAGAAGAAGGAAUAAAGCGAUGUUGAUGUAAUAUAACCCACGUUGGUGAUGGGUUAAUGGCAGCUGCAAGAGGAUCUCAUUCCUCUAUAAAUACAGAGCAAUGCAAUGGAAGAGGUGUGCAGAAUUUGGGCACCAAAUAGAGAUAGUGUAGUCCAGUGGAGAAAAGACCCUGGGGAGCAGAGAGGCAAGAAACCAGGGGCAUCUGCCAUUUUAGUUUUUCUUUUUUAAGUUUUCAGCUAGUUUAUAGGGAUAAGGAAAAUGCCAAUAUAAUUGGAGAGAACCUUGGGGAGUCGUGAGGCAACGAUCCAAGGGAUUGAUGAUGCAGUUUCUCCUUCUCUUCCAUGUUUUAGUUUUAUUUCUUCUUUGAGUUUUCAUAUUGUUUUUAUUUUCACUUAUAUCUAGCUAAACUCCUUUAUUAAGGUUGAGGGGGAAACACCAUUAUGAAAUAAAGUUUUAGUUUUUAUUUUUCAAUUCCCAACUAUUAUAUUCUUCAAUGUUUAUAAUUUCACUUCACAUGAUUAAUAAAUUAAUUUUCUUUUCACCACUUCGAUCGUGUAUUUGUGGUAGUUCAGAAUUUAAGUUAAUCUAUUAAUGCAUCCUUGAUUUUGUAUUACUAGUAUACACAUAUCUUCGAUCAUUUGUAGUUAAAUAAUAUUUUUCACAUAGGAUGUUCAGAAUUUGUACUUAUGAAGGGAAGGGGAAUUUAUAUAAGAGAAUUUAUAUAAGAUUCAUUAAAAUGCAUGUUUAAUUGAUAUAUCUUGAGAAAGCAGUAAAUUGAUUCCUAGAUUGCUACUCCAGAGAAUUGUUAGAUAGAUAAUUAGAGUUUUAUAGAAUAAUGGCGUGUAAUCUAAAACCUUAGUUAUUUUUCUCAUUCAUUUAAUCCAUUCUAGUUAUUAUUUGCAUUUUUAAUUUUUAUGCUUUAUUUAAUUUUCUUUUCAACCAACAAAUCAACUUUGAAUCAACUAGGUUAGCGAUUGAAUUAAAUUGGGUUGGAUUAGUUUCCAUCAUUUUCACACAAGUAUUAUAAAUUUAAAACAACACAUUUGGGUGGACAACAAGUUUAAAGUAUUUAUAAAAUAAAGCAACAUUAUUUAUAGAGAACCAAUAUGAGUUCUUUCUCUUUUCUUGGAUUUAGGAGCUCCUAAAAGUCUCUCUAUUUUAGAAGGUGGAUAGGGAGCAUGAUUGAAGUUGUAUUUUUCAUAUUCCUCUUUAAAAUUUGUCUAAAGAUAAGGGGAACAAGAUUUGUUAUCCCCAAUUUUCAUGUCCCAUUGUGUUCCUUUUUUAAAAUUUUAACACCUGUCUAAAUAAUUGACAAAACUUUAACACUGUCAAGUUUUAUUCAAAAACCCUAAUAAAUAUAAACAUCGUAAUAGCUCUUCUUCUUCACUUUUAAUCUUCUCUUCACAGCCAAACAUAUCCAAAUUAUCUCAAGGAAGAACCACCACAUAGCUACCAAUGCGAAUCCCUUGUAACCAACCAAAAUCGUUCAUCUUUCCCAUAUGGGAUGAGAUUCAGAAGGUUCUUCAUAGCUUUGAAGUUGAUGACGGCGGAAGAAGACGUAAGCACCUUUGAAAUUGCAACAAAAGCAUACUGCAGAUUUUUCUUGCUAGAAGAUUUGAAAUUAAUGUUUUGUUUUUUGUUUUUUUUGUUUUUUUUUUCACAAAAGAUGGUAUUUCAUUCAACCGAAUUAUGGAAAUAUAUAGAAAAAGAAAAAUACAUUAAAUGUUCGGUAUUUUUUUGCUCAAUUAGUGAUUUUGAUUAAGAUUGAAAAGUAUUAUUUAGACAGGUGUCAAAAUUUUAGAGAAUAAGGAGCUCGCAUUUUCCUUACUUCAAGGCCCAACCUCACUAUUUCAUCUUUGAUCGACGAGUAAUUAUCUAUAUAUAUAUAAAGCAAAAGGUAGAGAAUGGUGAAACAUUUAAAUUACCAGAAAAUGUCCAUAGUUAAUGCAAAUAUUAAGAAUUGAAAUUAUUAAUUAAAUGAGAAUAAUAUGGUAAAUUCACAUUUUUCAUAUUAAAAAAAUUAAAAUUAAAAGAAAAAUCAGAUAAUGGAUCCUAUUUUUAUGAAACACAACUACCCAUUAUUUUUUUUAAUUCUAAAAUAAAUUUAAAUUUAUUGAAAAAAAACCUCUUGCAGGCGCGGAAGCGCUUGUGGAGAGGCUAGUAUUACAAUUAUUAACAUAAUCUAUACCACGUUCCACUAACUUUAUACCACGUCUUUUAAUUUGAUUUUUUCCUCUACUGAUUCAGUGUUACUGUAUAUUACAUAGACACAGUAUCAUUAAUAAUUUGACAAUAUUGUACCGAUAUUUGAUAUAUCGAUCAAAUGUCAAUAAUGUGGUACAAAAUAUUGUAAAUUGUUACCAAUUGGUACGAGUACACCAAUUUACAACACUUGAUACAAUGUUAUUGAUAUAAUUAACAUUGUACUAUGUCAACAAUAUUGUACAAAGUAUUUGCAUGGCGUAAUGUUAUUUGCUAAAGAUAUUUCAAAGAAGCUAACAAGGGCAUUGCUUUGUAAAUCAGUGAUCUCAAGUUCGAACCUUAUGGCACAUUUGUAGUAUGUGCGUGAGAACAGAACAUUUGUAGUAUAGUUGGUCAUCCAAAUAAAAUGAAACCAUAGUUAGCCCAGAUAACAAAACUAUUGUUAAGCACUAACAAAAAGCACCUCCAAACUCAAAUCUUUUCACAAAAGGCAAAAUGAGAACAAAAUCUACAUCAAAUAUUUCAAAAUCAACUUCUCAAACCAAAACAUAACUACAAAAGUGAAAAAAGAAUCUAAUCUAGAAAACACAUACCUCACCAGAUGAAAAACAGAGCUUUGCGUGAGAAGAAGGAAUAUGAGAGAGAGAGGGUGUCAUCAUAGAUGAAGCAAAUAAGGAAUAGGAGAGAGAGAUGGCAUCGUUAUGUCGUCGAUGGAGCGAAGAAGGAAGAUGAGAGAGAGGGCGUCGUCGUCGAUGAAGUUAAUAAGAAAAAUGAGAGAGAGAGAGAGAGAGAGAGAGAGAGAGAGAGAGAGGCUGAGAUCUGGUUUUAAACAAAAGGGUAAAAUUAUAUUCCACCUUUAUAAUUUAGACAGGUCCAAUGAAUAUGGGCCUCUUAUUUAGGCAUAUCCAAAACAAAAUUUGAUUCAUAGGUAUUAAAACCCAAACAAAAAUUUCUCAAAUCCUAAUUAGUAAAGAUUGUAAUGCCUAAUACCUAAUUUUUCUUAACUUUUAGGAUAAUGCUAUAUGGCACAUUUUUAAUACCAUCUCACCUGGCAGUUGAGGUCGACAUUCAACUCAUUUAAAUUAUAUGUAUAUAUUUUUUAAGAUAUCAGUUUCUUAUAAUUUUCAUUAAUUCAAAAACUUAACCCUGGAGACUUUUCAAUUUCAUGUUAUCUGUUGGCCUCCCUAAAUUCACUCUCUUCCUUUGCCGUCGAUUCGCCACAUCUUCUGUCACAUUCCGGGAUCGGCUCCGCCGUAGCAUGAUAUUGUCCUCUUUGGGCCCCCCUCUCUGCCCUAACGGUUUUGUUUCUGGCCCCAACUCGCUUAACUUCAGAGUUCCCAUGACUUCGAAGCCAGUGAGCUCCCAAAAGGCCUCGUGCUAGAUGAAGGUGGGCAUGUACAUAUAAGGCACAUCACCCCCUCUCCAUUGGUCGAUGUGGGAUGUUAUAAUCCACCCCCCUUAGAGGCCCGAUGUCCUCGUCGGCACACUAGCACCACACAGCAGAGUGACUCUGAUACCAAAUUGUCACAUCCCGGGAUCGACUCCAUCGUAUCACGAUAUCGUCCGCUUUGGGCCCCCCUCUCUGCCCUCACUGUUUUGUUUCUGGGAACUCACGAGCAACUUCCCAGUGGGUCACCCAUCCUGGGAUUGCUUUAGCCCCAACUCGCUUAACUUCGGAGUUCCCAUGAUUCCAAAGCCAGUGAGCUCCCAAAAGGCCUUGUGCUAGAUGGAGGUGGGCAUGUACAUAUAAGGCACAUCACCCCCUCUCCGUUGGUCAAUAUGGGAUGUUACAGCUCCACUCCCUCCACCUUUAAUUUUUUGUUAGUCCACCUUUGAGCUGAUGUCUAUAGUCUAUGGUCAAUGGUCAGUCCCGGCCCUGCCCAGGGGCAGUUAAUGCGACUGCCCAGGGCCCAUUAUUCAAGGGGGCCCCAAAUUUUUUUAAUUAUGAUAAGUGUUAUAUUAUAUUAUUAUAAAUUGAUUUAAUAUUUUUCCAUAAUUUUUAGGAAUAAGAUAUUGAGAUGAAUCUGAAAUUUUGGAACAAAGGAUCCAUGACGAGAGUUUUAAAAGAAAUUCUUUGAUAUUGGCUUGACUUGCAUUCUUGAAAUUCUUUGACUCACUGGUAUGGUAUCCAUAGUUGGACAUUUGUUUUCAUUAUUUAGGAAUAUGGAAGACAUUGCUCAAAGUCUAAAAGUAUUUUCAAAUAAAUACUUUCUCAAAAAACCCAAUGCUUAGUUGAUAAAACAAGAAGUAUACUAGUAUUAGUGAUUAAUGUGUAUAUGGCACACUUUAGAUUUUCGCCUUAGGCCUUUGAAAACUCAGGACCGGCCCUAUCAAUGGUAGGGUCAUAACACUGCUCCUUGCAUCACCAGCUCCGACCACCUCUAUUACCUCUCAUAGAAAGAUGGAUGAUGUUGAUCAUGAUAUGGGUCUUGAUCAAGCAGAUUUGUAGUUGUGAUAACAUGUGUACUGACCAAAAAGCCAAGGAGGAGAAAGCCUUGCAACGGCGAAGAGGCAAUGGAUCGGCUACAUAGGUCUGGCAGAGUGUCGCCGAUGGAGAGGAGAGGAAGUAGGGAGAGAUGGAAUUGGGGGAGGUCGACAAACAACGUGAAAACUAAAGAGUCUCUAAUCCAGUAGGGUUAGUUUUUUUAAUUAAUGAAAAUAAUAAGAAAUUGAUAUGUCAAAAAAAAAAAACUAAUAUAAUUUUAAUGAGACUACUACAAAAAUUGAAAUAGACGACGGUGUCUUUGAAAACCGUUUUUAAUUCGACCACAAUCUUUUGGAAUGUCAAACUACGACGGUGAUUAACCGUCGUCUAUUAUUUGUAAAGACGACAUUUUUACUCAAAACUGUCGUCUAUUAAAGACAACGGUUUGUCUAAUAGAACCGUUGUUUAUUAUAUCGAAAGACGUCGGAUUUACUGUCGUCUAUUAAUUGAAAAGACGACAAUUUCUUUAAAUAUUGUCAUCUAUUAACUCUAAGACGACUGUUAUUAAUUGUAAAACUGACGUAGUAAUUUUAAAUUUUAGCUUCUUUUUUUCUUGUUUCCAAUGGUAUCAGAAAUCUAUACUCAAAUAUGCUAUUACCACACCAGACAUAUAUAUAUAUAUAUACUCAAAAAUUGUUUCUUUCAUAAAUAGUAUAUCAAGAGAACAAUAGAACAAAAUAAAAUCUAAAAAAUGAAAGCACUCUAGGGUCGCUAGUUGCUAGCUGCAAGCUACAAGCCUAAUUACAAUAAUACACAAAAAUUCAUAUACCUAAUUAUCCUUUAAGUCAAGUUCUCCAUGUGUAUAUAGAGCAAUACACUCAUCAUCACCAAUUUUCCUCUGCAUUCUAUCUGAACUUCAUCACUUUGUUCUUGGGUGUGUGAGUUAUCUACCUUCUUGCACAUUUUUUCAUAGGCACAAUAAGACACAAGCUUGUACAAAAAAUUAGUGAUUUUACAGCAAGAAAAUAGUUAGGUCUUCGCUCGAAGUGAAAGCCAAUAAAAACAAAACAUUACACCAAUAAAUAAAUGAGGGCCUAUAUAGCAUAAAACAUGGUUAACAUAACUAAUUUAUUAUUAUUAUUAUUAUUUUGAAAAAGAUGCUUUGUUUAAAAAUAAUAAGCACCACAAAAGUGUACAAAAGAUAGUAUUGAAAUAAUUAAUAUUAUCUAAAAUUUAAGCAUGAGAAAAAAGAAUAAAGGGAAACAACAAGAAAAAAAAAAGAAAAAAAAGAAAGAAGAGAAAGCCUGAACACCCCCCUUAGUUCUGCCCAUCAAAGAAAAGAAAACUAUAUAUUCAUUAUUCAUACCUUGUUUACCGACUACAAUUUCUUUUUGUUGGAUCAUAUGUUUACCGACUAUAUUGUAGACCGCUUUUGUAAUAGUACGAGAUGGUAUCAAAAGUAAGCAUGCAUGCAUAUGUCCUGAUUAUUUUAUGUUGUCCAACAUGUAGCACUGGAUGACGGCAAGAAAUCAUAAACAUUAAAUUAACCUACUCUUGGCAAAAGCUAUAACAGUAUAAACGAAAGUAUAUUUGUAUCAGAUUCUUUUCAGCGUACACAACACAGAUUUUGUGUUCGUCAGUCCACAGCUCUUGCUUGAUUCUAGUGUCUAGUGUGCUGAGUGGAAAGAUGCACAGCUAGUUUAACUUGUUGUCCACCCAAAUGUGUUGUUUUAAAUUUAUAAUACUCGCAAGCAUACAAAUCGACUGUAGAAUAGGCGUGUAUAAGUGUGACAGGAAGUGUGUGAAAAUGAUGGAAAACUAAUCCAACCCAAGUUAAUUCAAUUACUAACCUAGUUGAUUCAAAGUUGAUUUGUUGGUUGAAAAGAAAAUUAAAUAAAGCACAAAAAUUGAAAAUACAAAUAAACUAGAAUAGGGAUUAGAUGAAUGAGAAAAAUAACUAAGGUUUUAGAUUUCACACCAUUAUUUCAUAAAACUCUAAUUAUUUAUCUAACAAUUCCCAUGGAGUAACAAUCUAGAAAUCAUGUUAUUGAUAUAAUUGAAAAUUUUACUCUAUCAAUAAUAUUGUACAAAGUAUUUGCGCGGUGUCAUGUUAUUUGCUAAAGAUAUUUCGAAGAAGCUAAUAAGGGCAUUGCUUUGUAAAUCAGUGAUCUCAAGUUCGAAUCUCAUGGCACAUUUGUAGUAUGUGCGUGAGAAAUCCUGUCUUUCUUGUAAUUUAGACUAUCGCUUAAUUGUAUUUGAAAAACUUAGAUAUUUUGAAGAAAAUAGAACAUAAAUUAAAAGGGGAAGAAAAGCGUAGUUUAUAUAUAAUAACAACACAAAUGACACCGGAUGCUUUACAUGAGAAGAGCACAUUACUACUGCUAUAGUCGAAACCGAUCCGUACAUCACAGUGACAUUACAAGAAAUUAAACACACAUAACACAUCUCUUAUUCUACGUAAUGACAUGAACUUAGCAAGCUAGUCAUUCAUGCAUGCAUGAUCAGAGCUAGUCAUUCAUGCAUGCAUGAUCAGUUUCAGUUGGGAAAUGGAAGUUUGUGAGGUGGCUUGACAGGGCCAGUUGGGGGCUUUAGUUUCCUCGGUGGCUUUGAUGGGUCUCUUCCACCCUCCACCACAUUCUGUUCAAGAUGGCGAUCGUGAUGAGGUGGCUUGUCUCCCUUGCCCUUAGGAGGCUGAUCAACUGGCUUGGGCUCUGGCUUGGGCUCUGGGAAUGGCUUGUGCUCAUCAAGUGGGGUUGGUGGCUUGGGUUUUGUGGGUGGCUUCGGCUUCUUUCCCUGAGGAGGCAAUUUCCCAUCCAAUGGCUCCUCUAGCAAACGAGUUCUGGUUUCUUGUUUGUGAUGAGGCGGUUUCUCACCCUUUGGAGGCUGAUCAACUGGCUUUGGUUCUGGCUUGGGCUCUGGCUUGGGCUCUGGGAAUGGCUUGUGCUCAUCAAGUGGGGUUGGUGGCUUGGGUUUUGUGGGUGGCUCCGGCUUCUUUCCCUGAGGAGGCAAUUUCCCAUCCAAUGGCUCCUCUAGCAAACGAGUUCUGGUUUCUUGUAUGUGAUGAGGCGGCUUCUCACCCUUUGGAGGCUGAUCAACUGGCUUUGGUUCUGGCUUGGGCUCGGGCUUGGGCUCUGGCUUGGGCUCUGGGAAUGGCUUGUGCUCAUCAAGUGGGGUUGGUGGCUUGGGUUUUGUGGGUGGCUUCGGCUUCUUUCCCUGAGGAGGCAAUUUCCCAUCCAAUGGCUCCUCUAGCAAACGAGUUCUGGUUUCUUGUUUGUGAUGAGGCGGCUUCUCACCCUUUGGAGGCUCGUCGUUGCCCGGGUUUCCUUUGUGCUCUGGUGGUGGCUUCUCUCCUUUUCUUGGUGGCUCAUCUCUUGGGUGUCCUGGUUCAUGCUCAGGUGGUGGUUUCUCUCCUUUUCUCGGUGGCUCAUCUCCCGGGUGCUCAGGUGGUGGCUUCUCAUCCUUGUGAGGCUCAUCACCUGGUUUCUCCUUUGGUGGUGGCUUUUGUCCCUUAGGAGGCUCAUUGUUCUCUGGUGGAGGCUUUUUUCCCUUUGGAGGCUCAUUGUUCUCUGGUGGAGGCUUCUUUCCCUUUGGAGGCUGGUCAUUGCGCUCUGGUGGUGGCUUUUGUACCUGGGGAGGCUGGUCAUUGCGCUCUGGAGGUGGCUUUUCUCCCUUGGGAAAUUGGCCCUCCACCUCUAACAAAUGGUGUUCGUUGUGGGGUGGCUUGUCAACUGGUGGAGGCUUGUAAAUUGGGGGUACGGAAAUUGGAGGCUUGUAGAUUUGUGGCUUUGGGUCAUGGUUAUCAGCAAGAGAAGGAGUUGUGGUGGUGAAAGCCACCACUCCAAGAAGAAACACUAGCAAGUAUUUGGAAGACAUCUUUGGGCUCUUAGAAGCUUUGGGAUGAUUUGAAACUAGUAGAAGCCAGUGGCUUUUUAUAGUAAUAUGGGAACACUGUCGUCCUGACACGUGUCGUUUUGCAUCUGGAAUUUUUAAUGAAGUUAGUGGACUCAAUGGUGUUUUGUAUUGUUGGUACAAUUUAUAAAUGAAUUGGGGUCCAUUUGGGUCCUCAGGAGUUGAAAAGUUUGACAAUUUGCUAUGUUCAUACCUGGUGGGGACCUGAAUGAAAGCUUUGCACGACCGAGUGUUCACAACUCACAUGCACAAAUAUCAGUGACCUGGAGUACCUGGUGCACCUACUUCAAGCUCACUGGUUAUAGAUAGUGUUUUAACUUUUAAAAAGACUACGAAAAAUAGAAAAUCAUUUAUAAUAACUUAUUUUUGCAUGUGUGAGCAUAGCCAAUUUCUUUUUUUUCUUUUUUUGAAACAGAUGAUAAUAGGCACUAUACUAUAAGAAUGUAUAAAAAAUAACACUAAAAUAAUCAAUACUAUCUAAAACUUAAGUAUGAAAGAUAAGAAUAAAUACGUGAUUUUAAAAGAGACUCGCGCUUGAACAACUCAAAGAAAAACAACAACAACAAAAAAAGGAAAAAAAGAAGCAGAAGCAUGUUCAUACCAUGUUUACUGCAUAUAUAUAUAUAUAUAUAUCUAUCAAAAUGUUUACGUACUAUAUUGUAGACCGCUUUUGUAAUAUUACGAGAUGCUAUCAAAAGUAAGCAUGCAUGUAUAUAUCCUUAGUAUUUUAUGUUAUCCAACAUGUAGCACCGGAUGAAGGCAAGAAAACAUUAAAAGUCCGUUUGAUAAUUAUUUUAAUUUUAAUUUUAAUUUUUUAUUUUUUGUACUGGUAUAGAGAAAAAAAAGGGAGAAUAGAAGUGAGAUUGAGAUGGAAUAUGAGAACAGAGAAUGAGAGAGAGGAAUAACAAAAAUGAAAACAAAAACUAAAAACUGAAAUCUAUUUGAAAUUAUUUUCACUUUUGUUACUCGUCUCUCCCAUCUUCUCUCUCAAUCUCAUCCUAACUCUCAUUCUCACUUUCUCACUCUCAUUUUCCUCUAUACUCUAGCAAAAUUAACUAACUUUCGGCAAAAGCUAUUAUAUUGUUUUCAGCGUACACAACACAGAUUUUGUGUUCGUCAGUCCACAGCUUUUGCUUGAUUCUAGUGUCUACUGUGCUGAGUGGAAAGAUGAACGGCUAAUUUAGCUCAUUUCUUUUUGUUUUUUGUUUUAAUUAUAUAUCAAUACUACUAGCUAGCUAGCCCACAAUGGGAUUUCUCCUUUUCCCACUUGGGAUUUGUAUUUAAUUGCAACUUGUUAACACGAUCGAUCAUGUGAAUUGCUUUCAAUUAUAAUAAAAACUAAAGUGCCCUUCAAGUUUGGCCAAGAAAUACUUGUGCGUGCACGUGCAUAUGGUUGGCAUGGUGUGUUCACAACUCACAUGCACAAAUAUCAGUGACCUGGAGUACCUGGUGCAGCUACUUCAAGCUCACUGGUUAUAGAUAGUGUUUUAACUUUUAAAAAGCCUACGAAAAAUAUAAAAUCAUUUAUAAUAACUUAUUUUUGCAUGUGUGAGCAUAGCCAAUUUCUUUUUUUUUUUCUUUUUUUUUGAAACAGAUGAUAAUAGGCACUAUACUAUAAGAAGGUAUAAAAAAUAGCACUGGAAUAAUUAAUACUAUCUAAAAUUUAAGUCUGAGAGAUAAGAAUAAAUACGUUAUCUUAAAAAAGACUCGUGUUUGAACAACUCAAAGAAAAACAACAAAAAAGAAAAAGAAAAAAAAGAAGCGGAAGCAUGUUCAUACCAUGUUUACUAUAUAAAUAUAUAUAUAUAUAUAUAUAUAUAUUUAUCAAAAUGUUUACGUACUAUAUUGUAGACCGCUUUUGUAAUAUUACGACCACUGACGGACCCAGAAAUUUUUUAGCAGAGGUGCAAUAUUGACUAAGUAUGAAAAAUAAUUUUGGCGGCUUUUAUUCCUUACACAUCAAAUAAGAAAACUUGAUUUUAUGGGAUUUCAGUAUGAAGUAUAUAUUGACUUAAUGAGCUAUCAUUUUUAGCCUAAAUCGUAUUUUGCACUAUAACAAAAUUUUCAUAUUUUGAUUUGGUAGGAAUUUGAUUUUCUAGUAUUUUUAUUUGAAUCCAAAUGGGGGGUACUUCCUUAUUUAUAUUGUAAACUUAAGUAAAUGGAGUAAUAUAAAAAUAAAUAAAAGUAAAAAGACAAAGACAUUUACUUAAAUGUUGAAAUAGAAAUAAGGUAAUCUGUACACCAGUUGAGCAAAGGGACAAUUUGAAGCACCUACAAUAAUUUUUUCGGUUAGGGGAAAUGCAACACCUCCUUGCGCCUUACUAGGUCCGUCAGUGAUUACGAGAUGCUAUCAAAAGUAAGCAUGCAUGUAUAUAUCCUUGUUAUUUUAUGUUAUCCAACAUGUAGCACCGGAUGAAGGCAAGAAAACAUUAAGAGCCCGUUUGAUAAUCAUUUCAAUUUUAAUUUUUAGUUUUUAUUUUUAGUACUAGUAUAGAGAAAAAAGAGGAAGAAUGGAAGUGAGAUUGAGAUGGAAUAUGAGAAUAGAGGAUGAGAGAGAGGAGUAACAAAAGUGAAAACAAAAACUAAAAACUGAAAUCUAUUUGAAAUUAUUUUCACUUUUGUUACUCUUCUCUCCCAUCUUCUCUCUCAAUCUCAUCCUAACUCUCAUUCUCACUCUCAUUUUCAUUCUCAUUUUCCUCUAUACUCUAGCAAAAUUAACUAACUUUCAGCAAAAGCUAUUAUAUUGUUUUCAGUGUACACAACACAGAUUUUGUGUUCGUCAGUCCACAGCUUUUCCUUGAUUCUAGUGUCUACUGUGCUGAGUGGAAAGAUGAACGGCUAAUUUAGCUCAUUUCUUUUUGUUUUUUGUUUUAAUUAUAUAUUAAUACUACUAGCUAGCUAGCCCACAAUGGGAUUUCUCCUUUUCCCACUUGGGAUUUGUAUUUAAUUGCAACUUGUUAACACGAUCAAUCAUGUGAAUUGCUUGCAAUUAGAGAUGAUCAUUAUAAUAAAAAACUAAAGUGCCCUUCAAGUUUGGCCAAGAAAUACUUAUGCGUGCAUGUGCAUUUGGUCGGCUUGGUGAGAAGACUAUGUGAAGGCAUGAAAUAUUUGUAUACGAGUCAUCUGACUGCCUUCUCUUUUUUCCCUGAUAGCCACCAGGUGCGCCAAAAUUUUAUCACAUCACAUUACCAAUGCAUGGAUGCCGCGUUAUUUUGCAGAUAAUUUAUUAGUGGUCCCUUUCAUCGUUUGUUUACAUAGAGCAGUAAAGUCUUCAUUAUAGGAUAAGAUCCUUAAUUUGUUAAAGUCUCUGCCGACAUGUUAAUGUGUUAUCACUCAGUAAUUUUCAAACAUGUCGGCUCUAUUAUUGCCUCGGGACAAUGGCUCAGGAACCCUAGGGCGUAUAGAAUGGUUGCUUAACUUUAAGCAUAUCAUGUCAGUACGGUAUAGCUCAAUUAAUUUAGUUCUUCUACUCACAUUCAUGUGUGCAGAAUUUAAAAACCUAAAACACAUGCGGAUUUGUGUAUGGGCUAGAGUGGGCUCUAGCAUAGUACUAAAUUUAGAGAUGAAAAAAAUUAGUGUUAAUUGUAUAAAUAAAACCCAGGUGAAUAAAAAAUAGUCCACCCCUCUCCUCCUUUUUAAAAUUGUACCAAUCUAUAUUCAAUAGGUUCUUUAAUAUUAGUAAGAUUUCUCUUAAUUUUUAUUUAAUUUUCAAUUUCAAUUGUUAUUGUUAGCUUUUUAUGAUUUAGGGUUUAUGUGUUAAAUUUUGGGGUCUUUUUUCUUAUGCAAUUUGCUAGGAUUUUAUUGCUAACUCGUCCUUUUUUUUCUGAUUCAAUCUAUUCAUUACUUGAUCUAUGCUUUUAUAAUCUAGUUGUCUGUUGGUUUUGUUGAAUAUUUGUAGCUUGUGAUUGUGCAAUUGUAGAUCUAUAUGACUACACUCCCUACUACUUUUAUUACUUGAUCAAUUACAUUUGUUAGCCUUUAAUUAUCACGCUAUGUCACUUUAUUUAUUUUGAAAAAGAAAAAAGUAAUUGAGACCCCACUUGUGUAUUAUUUUCAAUGUACGAGGCCCAUAAUACUUUACCAAAAUGAUGCGAAAGAAGUUAUUUUCAGGCGUCGAGAAUGUACAUAACAAAGUUGCUUUAUGAGUAAAUGAACCCUAGGUUGGAUGACCUUAUAAUGUAACCACUACUAGUUCUGUUGUUGAAAAAACCAAACCAAUUCGGCUGAUAUCUCCAAUUGAUUGUACAAUUUGUCAAUGGGACACAUAGGCUUCCACAAGUCCCAGAAACUGACAAUGGACGUUCUUAACUUUUGAAAAACUUGUGAGCAGUGUAGGUGGGAAAGUCCUUCUGCAGUCAAUCAAUUCUUGAGAUUGAAAAGGAUCUAGCGAGCCCCAUAUGAUUUGUAAUCGUAUAGGAACAGAAAACAUCUCCACGGUCUAAAAUGAAUUUCUCAGUCCUCAAAAGUCGUAUAUGUUUGCUUUAGUUUUGACAUGUAGAUAAGAGUAGUGGAAACACAAAACCGUCCUUUGUCUUUUUGUGCCCAAUUUUUAUUGACCACAAAAGAAAUUAUGGAUAACCCAUUUUUGUCAUCAAGGACUAAAAGCUUCACUAAAACUAAAUAAUACAACCAAAACAACUAGUCUUCGAUGAUGUAAUGACGUGGUCUCGUUAAAAUCUUAUUUAAAAGAAAUGGUAUGAAUCCACAAACAAAGCUACAUUCAUUGAGCCCACAUUCUAAUUUUUAUUAAAAAUACCAAGAGGCUAUACAUAAUCCCAUUGAUUGAGACAGAACAUCUUGAAUUGUCGUUUACCACUGGAUCUUGCAAUUACGUCCCCAUACAUAAAAACGAACAGACUGGGCUGAACUGUAACGUAGUACUAUGCUGCAUAUACAUCGGUCCAAUAGGCAAUAGACACGUACAUCCAAAUUCUAUCAUAUUAUUAAUUGCCUUUAAACAUGUUUGCCACCACCAUGCAUGCAACAUUUACCAACAAAAGGUGGAUAUGCCAUCCGGUUAAUGCAGGAAAUUAGAUUGUCUUUAGUUUUGUACCUAUCUAAUUUGCAAUUACGUGUUGAUCUAAAACUCAGAUUGAUGCACCAUGCGUUGUAGAUAGAUCAGAUGUUAAUAGACCAUACGUGUUUAUCUUUUUUUCCCAGGGUCAUGAUGCUAGAUCUGUAUCCUAGAUUGUACGUCAAUCCCAUGGUCUUUUGCAAAUGGAGAAGCAAGACCACUGCGUAGAAAUUAAGAGAAGUUCUCAUCCUUGGUGCUUAUAAUAUUAUAAAGAAGUGUUAGGGUCAUCAAGAUUGUUGACAAGCUCAUAUGAUUUGUUAGUUUUUCAAUUUCACAUAUAACUUUCUAUAUGCAAAGGACUUCUAUCUCAAGUGGUAAGAGCAAUUAUCAUACACUUAAGGUCCUGUAUUCGAACUCCUCCCCUAAUAUUUUAGUUGCGACAAUAGAGAAAGUGAGAGUCGAACACACAACAACAAGUGAAAUGAUAAAUACUCUUAAUUACCUUAGUCACAAAUUUCACCUAAUAAUCCAACUUUUCAACUCGAUUGGUGGGCUACAAAUGGUCCGAUCACCCUAUAAUUUCUGUAUCUGUAACUUUCCCAAGAGAAUUUACAAACUUUGGUCUAUAUAGAAAUUAAGUGCACAAACACAAGUGUGCUGACAGUAUUGGCCUCCAGUCCUAUAAAAGGGCACACACUUACACCAAAUUUGUACCAUCCACAGUAUCAUUCACUAGCUAUACCUUAACAAUAAUGUCUCUCAAAUUCCUGCUGGUGGUGUCCCUGUGUGUGCUGGUUGUCACCACUUGUUCUCUUGCUGAUCAUGAUCACCAUAAACCACCACACAAUAGUUAUUAACCAAAACUGAUAUCUCACAUUGAAUUGUAUCACAAACUAGUUCAAUAACCAUGUAUAUAUUUUUUUGUUUUCUGGUUAUUGUAAUCUUAAAUUUCCAUCUUUGCUAUCGAAUCACGUUUGGCAUCAACAGAUUCAAUACUGGUUUAAGUGUGAGUCUAAAUAUUUAUAUAGUGGGAUAACUAGUGAAAAUGAGUUCACAAUAUCCAUCCUUAAAUACAAAGAAACUGAAGAUUUUACAUCUUCAGGAAUAUUCGUCAGCUUGUGUAGAAAAGCAUAUGCUAAAGAGUAGCUCAAAGUAGAGGUGUCAAAUAGAUUAGGCUAGCCUGAGCACAUCAUGAGUUCAGUUCAAUUAAAUAAAACGCAAUACACUAUGUUUUGUAUUUUUAGAUGGAUCAAAAUGACCCAAUUCAAUUCAAUUGGCCGAGUCGGCCAGAGACCCGUUGUGGGUCGUGCUGGCCUAAAGUCCAACGGGCCGGCCCAUUUAAAUUUGACAAUGGAAGCUACGAAUACGGGGUUCAACAGAAAAAAAAUUCCCCAAUCUUACUGCCUAUGAGCAGUGUGAGUUAAAUGAUCAUUACAUCACCAAUUAUGUCUUUGUCAUGGACUAACUGGUGGACAUUGUGACGGAUGUGGAAUUGUUUCCUGAGAGUGGAAUCCUUGAAUCUAAGCUACUAGAUUGCGAAAAAACAGCAAAAUUUAUUAACUCCUUGACUUCGACAUUAUUCAAUUCAGUAGAAAAUCUUAUUUCGCCAAUCUUUGCGACGAAUUGAAUAACUACUAUAAAGAGCGUUGGCACCAUUGGAAGUAGAGUGUCAAACAGGUCGGGCCGGCCCAAGCAAGGUAUGAAUUUGGGCUGACUGUGUACGGCUUGACACAACAUGACUAGUAUUUUUGGGUGGGCCAUGAUGAGGAAAUUUGGUCCAAUGGGUUAAGCCUACUCGAAGCCCAACGGGCCGGCCCAUUUAAAGCUCAUUUAUUAAAUUAUAUUUAUUUUAGAGAAAAUUAUUACAUAAUAUUAUUAUAUUUGUAUAUUAAAUUCAAGUAUGUUUCUUUUUUCUAAUAAUAUAUUUUAAAAUACAAUGUUUUUUCUUUAUAAAUAAAAUCAUUAUUUUUAUUUUUCAAUUUUUUAAACCGAACAAUAAUCUAGUUAUUUUCUAUUUUAAUGUACUUCAAAUAAGUCAUUCGCUUUUUUUUUUUUUCAACAAAUAAUAAAUCUUGUUAGUAUAUACAUAUUUAUAAAUAAAAUAUAAAUAAAAUUGACAAAAAAAUGCAAUUGACACCUCAAGCUCAAAUGUAACAGACAAAAGGAGAGUAUAAAUGGCUGAUCAACUUGGCGAAAUAGCUAGGGAUAGAAAGGGGAAAGGGCUAAACUUAAUUAGGUAGCAAAAUGAAACUUGGCAACGAUAACAAUAAUAGAAAAGGAAAAGGGGAAAGGAAGGAAGUAAAAAGUUAGAAAACACAAAGAAAAAGCUAACACUAAUAUAUUCAAAAAGUAUAUGGAAAAAGUAUAAUUAAAAAAAAAAAAGAAAAAAAAAAGGAACCCAAUAGUCAAGGUUCAUUUUCAAGGAAUGUGAAAAUGGUACUUGGGCGAAAGGGGUAAAUUUAAACUAUAACUAGAGUAUAGAAGGAUAGAAUAAAUACAAUGUUCUUGAACAAUAUAUGACUAGUCAGCAACUGGUCAUGGACUUGAGAUUAAUAUACACAAAAUCACACGUACAUACAACAAACAAUUAUCAAGUCCUUAUAGACCUAGAAGAAAACUAGGUGACAACCUAAGCACUUAGAAGCACUGGUGGACCCAGAAAUUUUUUAGCGGAGGUGCAAUAUUGACUAAGUAUGAAAAAUGGUUUUUUGGAAUAAUCAUUUUCUCAAGAUAAUUUUUGGCGGCUUUUAUUCCUUACACAUCAAAUAAGAAAACUUGAUUUUAUGGGAUUUUAGUAUGAAGUAUAUAUUUACUUAAUGAGCUAUCAUUUUUAGCCUAAAUCAUAUUUUGCACUAAAACCGAAUUUUCAUUUUUUGAUUUGGUGGGAAUUUGAUUUUCUAAUAUUUUUAUUUGAAUCCAAAUAGGGGGUACUUCCUUAUUUACAUUGUAAACUUAAGUAAAUGGAGUAAUAUAAAAAUAAAUAAAAGUAAAUGGACAAAGACAUUUACUUAAAUGUUGGAAAUAGAAAUAAAGUAAUCUGUACACCAGUUGAGCAAAGGAACAAUUUGAAGCACCUACAAUGAUUUUUCCGGUUAGGGGAGGUGCAGUCUACCAGUGCUUAGAAGGAUCCAUCCAUCAUCUAGGCGUUUUAUAUGCUUGGUGAUAUGUGUGUCAGCAUGCAUUAAAUCUGAAAUAGGAAUGAAUAACAAAAGAUGAUUAGGUAGCAAUAUGAAAUAGCUAGGGAUAAAAAGGGGAAAGGGCUAGGUAGCAAAAUGAAACUUGGCAACGAUAACAAUAAUAAAAAAGGAAAGAAGAGGGGGGGAGGGGGGUUGGUUUCAAAAGACAAAGAAAAAGCUAACACUAAUAUUCAAAAAGUAUAGGGAAAAAGGAAAAAAAAAACGAAAGGAACCAACUAGUCACAAAGAAGGUUCAUUUUCAAGGGAGGAAAAAGAUGUAGAAUGUAUUGCGUAUAUGCUUUUUUCGUUAACAAUAUUAGCCCCCCGAUGGUUAAAAAAAGAUUUCUGUUUUGUAAAGAGGUUCUCUUAAAAGAAAGCCGAUUGCCAUAUUAUACAUAAUUAAGAGGUAGAAUUUGAUUGUCGACAUGCUUAUAAUAUUAACUUUAUCCAUAAAACUUUACCAAAAGGUGGAUAUGCCAUCCGGUUAAUGCAGGAAAUUAGACUGUCUUUAGUUUUGUACCUAUCUAAUUUGCAAUUACGUGUUGAUGUAAAACUCAAAUUGAUGCACCAUACGUUGUAGAUAGACCAGACGUUAAUAGACCAUGUAUACGUGUUUAUCUUUUUUAUCAGGGUCAUGAUGCUAGAUCUGUAUCCUUGAUUGUUCGUCAAUCCCAUGGUCUUUUGCAAAUGGAGAAGCAAGACCACUGCGUAGAAAUUAAGAGAAGCUUCAUCCUUGGUGCUUAUAAUUAUAAAGAAGUGUUAGGGUCAUCAGGGAUUGUUGACAAGUUCAUAUGAUUUGUUAGUGUUUCAUUUUCAAAUAUAACUUUUUAUAUGUAAAGAACUUCUAUCUCAAGUGGUUAAGAGCAGUUACCCUAUAUUUAAGGUCCUGUAUUCGAACUCCUACCCUAAUAUUUUAGUUGCGACAAUAGAGAAAGUGAGAGUCGAACACACAACAAUAAGUGAAAGAAUGCUCUUAAUUACUUUAUUCACAAAUUUGUUACAAUUUCACCUAAUAAUCCAACUUUUCAACUCGAUUGGUGGGCUGCGAAUGGUCCUAUCACUCUAUAAUUUAUGUAUCUGUAACUUUCCCAAGAGAAUUUACAAACUUUGGUCUAUAUAGAAAUCAAGUGCACAAACACAAGUGUCCUGACAUUAUUGGCCUCCAGUCCUAUAAAAGGGCACACACUUACACCAAAUUUGUACCAUCCACAAUAUCACUCACUAGCUAUACCUUAACAAUAAUGUCUCCCAAAUUCCUGCUGGUGGUGUCCCUGGGUGUGCUGCUUCUCACCACCUGUUCUCUUGCUGAUCAUGAUCACCAUAAACCUCCACAUAAACCACCACACAAGCCACCUCCUUUGGAAGCAGAAAACUCCGUUGAAUUGGAUGGCAAGCCUCCUAAGGGUCCGAGACCACCCCCAAAGCACAGGCCGCCAACACCGCUUGAUAAUGAGGCAGCAGUGCCAUUGAAGGAUGUCGAAGCCUCGUACAAGCCUCCAGGGAAGAAACCACCACAUAACCCCUACAAGCCACCCUACAAACCUCCUCCAUCAAACUAAGUGCAUGCAUGCCUAGCUAACUAAUUAUAUGUAGCUAGCUAGGUUAUUAUACAUCGACGUGUAUAAAAAAUAAGAGCUGCAUCUGCAUGCAUGAUGAUGUAAUAUUACUCUGUUAUUAGCUUUAUUUUACUACUACUGCUACUAGCUUAAGUUAUUCAUGCUGGAGCCCGUUUGUUGUUGUUAUGCACUUGUAUUUACUUACCAGUCAUGAGCACUGGCGAGUAGAUACAAACUUUAUAUAUAAAAAAAUUAAAUAAAUUAUGAUUGAUCAUAAUUCUAGUCGUGUCGAAUUUACUACUGAAUAAUGAUCAUAAGAGCCAAAUCAGAAAAAAUAAAUUUAAAAGCAUGUUACAAAAAAGAGGGAAAAAAAGAAGAAACGAAUUGGAGUUUUGGUCAAGAAGAAAAAAAAAAAAAAAAACCCAGCACAACAAACUUACGUUUUGGUGAAGAAGGAAAAAAAACGCAGCAAUAGCUGCGCAACCCAAUUGAUUUCUUUGUUUUUAAAAUCUUUUUGUAAUCCUUGUUUAAAUAAGAAAGCAAAACAUGUUUAAAGACUUUUGAAAGCCAACGAAAUGCAGGGCUAAGCAUGUUGUUGAAAGCCCGUAAACUGCAGUUUGCCUCCUCUUAAGUUUUUUUUUUUUCUCUGACCCAAAACGACGUCAUUUUGGCCAGGACUUUUAAAAAAAAAUUAGGCGUGCAGGCAGCAACGCAACGCAACAAAUAGACUUUGGUUGAGUCAUUUUGUCGAACACCUGGAGUGCACCACCACGAGCCGAGUAGAGGUGUAAUUUGAAGUACCUACAAUGGUUUUUCCGGUAGGGGGGAGUACAACUGCACCUUAUUGCGACUUAAUAGGUUAGUCACUGGUCAUGAGCAUGAAACAUACUCAACUUCAUGUUUAGCUAGCUUUUUAAUAAAUGUACUUACUACGUACUCUUGUGUAAUUUAAAAGAUGUAUCAUUAUAAUAAAUUAUAUAUAUAAGGAGUUUCAAUUGAGAGAUUCUCUAAAUAACGUUAUUUGAAAGAUAUUCUCGACUUUCUUUGAGCAAUACUUUGACAUUUCCAUUUGGCUAAAAACAGAAUGGAGUUAAAGGAUAUUGUAUACUAUAAACAAAUUGACACUUCUGUACAAUACGAUUGCGUACUUUUUAUGUUUAGAACUGAAAUCGAAUAAUUCACAUUCUUUAAUUGGAUUGUAUAUAAGAGUAGGGUCAUGGCGUAACUCUUCACCCCAUCGGAGAAGAUUGAAUGUAUGUCCAGAACCGAAAUUGUAAGUAACCCAAAUCAAUUCAAUUUGGGUUAGGGUUGGGGUUGAACCCAAAUUCAGUCAUUCGUUUCUUUGUUUCUUGUAUUUAUUUUCUUUAUAAGCUUUCGUUGCUUUGUUGUUUAAGCCCAAUAUUUCACAGGCUUGGCCUUCUUUUCUUUAAGAAAUUUUUUCGAACUUUUCUGCUUGAAACUAAUGAAAAUUUUGAACUUGUUGCCAAAAGAAAAAAUAAUAAUAAACUCUGCGAUGAUUAUCUUUGUAUCUUUAACUUUUUUCUUUUCUUUUUGGAGAUAAACUUUCUUUGUGUCUAUGAUGUGAGACACAGACACAAAGAAAGUCGGAGUAACGCACUAGAUAUAUACAGUUUGUCGCUAGACCAAAUUCCUACACUUGUCUCGACCAAAAAAAAUUAAAUUCUACACUUGAAAAUUAUAUGUACUGGUUUUUAUCUUUUUCAGCUAUGCGUCCUAAGAUUGGUCAUUUGCUUAUUAGUGGUUAAUUAUUGCAACUUCCCAAGAACCUGUUCCCAGUGCAACUUCUGUUGAUAAUCCAGCUUAACAACUAAAUUGGUGGAUUCUAAAAUGGGAGAUGAAAUUGUAUGUCACAGGGAUAACACUGUUUUGUUAUUAUUAUCCAAUUACGUUCUGUCAUGUAAAAUUCUUAUUAUGUAUGAAAGGACGUGAUUGGUUGGGAAUAACAAAAUAAUUUUAUACCUGUGAUAUACAAGUUUUUCUCCUAAAAUGGGCUAAGCAAAACAACAAAACUAUUUCCUAAAUUUGUCCACCAAAUUUUGUGUCUAAUAUAUGUUAAAAUGUCUUAUUUGUUGGAAAUAAAUAAAAUUGAAAAUGAUUCUUUCGUCCCGAAAAAGACUUGUUUAAAUUACGAUAAAUGAAUAAAUGUAGCAAUAGCAGUUACUUCUGCACCCAGAAUCUUGUGUUCUUCCCUCCUGAAAUAUUGACUUGUAUAUAAGAAAGAAGAGUAAAUAUGAACGCCUAUAUUAAUUAUAUUACUAUAUCCAAAAUGGAAAAAGAUUGGCUCCUUCAAAUUGAAGAGGAGUUCCUCCUUACAAUCAAUUAAUGUGUUUUUGACACGGGUCAAAUUAUUUUAUUUUAUUUUAUUUCUUGAAACUUUGUUAAUAUUGCUCGAAUUUGACAAGUCUCAAAACUCCAUUGAUUUUAAGGAGAAGCUCCUCCUUAAUUUUGAAGGAGCCAUGCUGAUUCAAAAUUCUCUGAUGGGAAAUGAGUGUCGUGGGAGGUAAGUGAGUGCCGAAUUCACAACUCACAGGAAAAAACCCAUACAUCAACUGCCUUUAUAUGUGGUCUAGAGUUGUUACCUCUUAUAAAAAAGAAAGACCAAGACUUCUAGUUUUGCACCAUCUAGAACUCAAUGCUCCAACUAGCUAGCUGGCCAUACAAUGUGUCCUAAAUCCCUGCAAUUGAUGUUGCUGCUCCUUGGUCUGCUUCUUCUCACCACUUGUAUUGGUGCUGAUCACCAUAGACCACCACAGAAGCUACCAAUUUAUAAGCGUCCUCCUCCUUUGGAAGCAGCAAACUCCCUUGAACAAGAGUUGCUGCCAUUUGGUGGCAAACGUAAGAGACCAAUGUCACCGCCCCCGAAGCACAAGCCACCUCCGCCCCAAAAACACAAGCCGCCGCCACCACCUACACCAAAACUCAACCCACACCCACCCCCAACCUCAGCCCACACACCAGCCCCAAACUUACGCCACACACAAACCUUAACCCACCACACCCCAAGAGCACCGNNNNNNNNNNNNNNNNNNNNNNNNNNNNNNNNNNNNNNNNNNNNNNNNNNNNNNNNNNNNNNNNNNNNNNNNNNNNNNNNNNNNNNNNNNNNNNNNNNNNUCUCAACCCACCACCACCACCACCCAGAAAGCGCACGCCACCACCACCACCACCAGCAAGGAGACCACCCCCAAACCUCAUUCCGCCACCACCACCAGCCCCAAAACAGAGCCCCGGUACCACCGCCACCACUCCAAAACACAACCCGCCAGUUACCCCACACUUGAUGAAGCUGCACUAAAGGAUGCUGAAGACCCGUUUGUGCAAGCCACCGUUAGAAUCUACCUAGUCCAUUCACCUAAGUGCCCACCUCACCUCACUAAAUUAUUAUGAAGCUAGCUAGCAAGCUAUCUCAAUAUGUACGCAUAUGCAUCAAAAUAAGUGCUGCAUGCACGCGGGUGGGAUGUAAUAUAAUCAUUUUAUAAGCCUUUACUUUACUACUACUGGUACGUAUGGACUUGGAUUAACUAGUAUAUAUAGCAUGAAAACGCCGCUCACUUUCUUCUUACCAUACAAGCUAAGUACCCUUUGUAAAUCAAUUUGAAGUAUCGUUCGUUAGGGUUCUCCAAUAUGUGUUAAAUCGUUUAUUAAUUUGAUUUGCAAUCUUUAGAUCUUUCAUUCUAAACUCACUUGAUAAUUAUGUCCUAUGUAAUGUAGGGGUUUUUUCUUUUUUUCAAUUACUGAGUUUCAUCUCCCAUGUUCCACCACUAUUGCAACCACCACCCCAA
rnacentral:lncRNA from 1 species